UGAAGAAACAUGCGAGAAAGUCAAAAGCAAGUGGCGCGUCUGUUGAAGGUUCUUCUGGAGAGAAGUUAAGUGAAAGUUAUGGACGGACUUUUUUAUCUCUUCCAGAGGCAAAAGAGGUGGGUUUUUGGGAUUAUGAGCAGGGUGUGGUUUUAUGAUGAUUUGCUUAAUUCAGGUUUGUGUACCUCUAAAGUUUAUGUUCAAAUCAAACAAUUUUUUUCUCCAUUUGGUUGAAUUUCUAUUAAACAGAUGGAUAUUCAGAACCACCCUAAGUGCCACGGUGAGUGAUAAUUGGAUGCAUAGUAGGUAUGCUCCUUUAUGUGUUCUACUCACCAAAAUAUUUAUAGUUAAAGCAUUCAUUUAGUGACUGAAUGUGUUAUGUGUGUUCGUUUGUGCUAAACCAUCUGGCACCAUGUUGACUUCUUUUUAUCUUUGCUUGAUAUGGUUCUCUGCUUUUCGAAACUACAAAGCCUACUUUGAAAUGCUUUAUAUGAAGCAAAUAUGCGAGAAUGUAGUGGAUGGUCUAGGAAAACUUUUUUAUUCAUAUCCUAUCUCAUGCUUGUCUACUUAGGCCCCGCUUGUUUCAGCGUUUACUAACCAAAAACAGAUGUAAAAUUCGGAGCAGUAGCUAACCAUUUUUUUUCGUACCUCCAAUGCUCCGACAAAUACAAAUCAGCGGGCACAGCAAAACGGACGUGACCAGUUUUUCCGGAGGGGAAUAUUAAACGACAAUCCAAGUGGGGCCUUAGAGAAGAAAA